rnacentral:lncRNA from 1 species
AAUCUAACGAAACAAUUUUGAAGUAAUCUAACGGCUAAUUUGUAUAACAAAAACAUAGAAAAUAUUUUUCUAAAAUCUUUGAGGUUGGUAAUGCUAAUUUAGAGCUACGAAACAAUAAUCAAACCCAAGGUCUUCAUAGAGCUUGUUUAAGAUGGUUGUUCAAUUAGUAAUAAGCAUUAUUAGAUUGGUUUGGACCAUCAUUAUGUCUAUUUGGGCAUGUUGCAUAUACCACGAAAGCAAAAAAGUUGAUAAAGGGACCUAUACAAAAAUUGACGGUGAAAGUUAUAUUGGCGAUAAAAAUGGUAUAAAAAACGACAAGAAUAUACCAGGUAAGAUGGGAGCGUAAUGAUCUUU